rnacentral:rRNA from 1 species
AUUGAACGCUGGCGGCAUGCCUUACACAUGCAAGUCGAACGGCAGCGGACCUUCGGGUGCCGGCGAGUGGCGAACGGGUGAGUAAUAUAUCGGAACGUACCUUUCAGUGGGGGAUAACGUAGCGAAAGUUACGCUAAUACCGCAUAUUCUGUGAGCAGGAAAGCAGGGGAUCGCAAGACCUUGCGCUGAUUGAGCGGCCGAUAUCAGAUUAGCUAGUUGGUGAGGUAAAGGCUCACCAAGGCGACGAUCUGUAGCGGGUCUGAGAGGAUGAUCCGCCACACUGGAACUGAGACACGGUCCAGACUCCUACGGGAGGCAGCAGUGGGGAAUUUUGGACAAUGGGCGCAAGCCUGAUCCAGCCAUGCCGCGUGAGUGAAGAAGGCCUCGGUUGGUAAGACUCUUUCGGUCCGGGAACGGAAAUACGCACAGGUUAAU